UGCACUCUAAUACAUCUUCUUCAACAAAGACAUGAUGGCUGAAGGGACAAGAGAAGACUGAAGAAAAGGAAGUAGUGCCCUCAACCAGCAGAGAACAGGACACAUCAUGUUAGAGCUGUA